AUACGGAGGGUGCAAGCGUUAAUCGGAAUUACUGGGCGUAAAGCGCGCGUAGGUGGUUUUGUAAGUCGGAUGUGAAAGCCCAGGGCUCAACCUUGGAAUUGCAUUCGAAACUGCAUGACUAGAGUAUGGUAGAGGGAAGUGGAAUUCCAGGUGUAGCGGUGAAAUGCGUAGAUAUCUGGAGGAACAUCAGUGGCGAAGGCGACUUCCUGGACCAAUACUGACGCUGAGGUGCGAAAGCGUGGGGAGCAAACAGGAUUAGAAACCCUAGUAGUCC
rnacentral:rRNA from 1 species